CUGCUUCUACUUUCUGUAUGGAGCUGGGAGCGUCUGCCUGUUGGACGCCCGAAGAGCGUCAGGUUUGAUCCUUGGUAUGCAGAUGAACAUGACGAAUUACGGCGCCCCACGUGGGCUUACAAGUGGGAUAUCGUUUCCGAGAUGACGAACGAUGUCAAUCUCAUGUACCAAAAGUACAUUGCCGAGUUGCACACGAUUACGCCUGAGCAGGUAAGGAGGUCAUUACUUUAG
rnacentral:rRNA from 1 species